UCUACAUUGCGUUUAUUCACUGCAUGCACAGUACAUUGUAUGUUGGUCCAAACUCCUUUACCCGGGCCAGCCAGCGUAUCAAAGCUUGUUUAUACUGCGACUGUAAUUUGUAACAGCUGUUGUUACUAUUCUGACAUUUGCAACUCACAUUUUGCAUCAUUUCUGAACCAUUUUUACGUCUCGAGACGUCCAACAAAUAACAAUGUCGGAAGACCAUUUUGACGAUCUGGAGCAUUACAACUACGAUCCCAUUCACAGCGGGGCGAGCGGCAAGGGGCUGUCGAAGAAGGAGAAGGCGACGAAAGAACACAAUAAUCCACACACAACGAAAGAGGCCCGCCUUGUCGAAGAUCAGAUUACGAAUUCAGAACAGAAGAAGAAGGAUAAGAUCAAGAAACAGAGCAGCAAAGAAUAGAUUUGAGGACAGAAACAUUGGGUGUUUGUUGAAUAACGACAUGAAUUGUAACUUUUAAGGUUUGGAUUUGCCACAGAAGAUCGGAUACAGUGUCGCUAUGUCGGGGACCGGAACAUGGACAAAGAGGAUGCCAAUCAUGAAUCACAUUGAAGGAAUCAAAGAGAAUUUGAUAGCGGCCUCUAUAGUCUGUCUCUGAUCAUGGGUGAAUUACUCAAUGCAGUCGAGAUGGAAUUUCUACAGAAAUAGUGAAAAUCAACUCACUUUUAUACAAUUAAGUCUGCAUGUUUUUUUGAAAAUAAUUAGUUGAUGUCUCUGAUCAUGGGUCAAUUACUCAAUGCAGUCGAGAUGGAGUUCCUACAGAAAUCACUGAAAUUUUGAAAAUCAACUCACUUUUAUACAAGCCUGUAUGUUU